UUUCAUCUUUUCUUGUUUUACGUGCAAUUUAGGGACCAAUCGUGUCGGGCAAAAGACCUUCAAAGCAAAAUUUAGCCGUCUCCAGUAACCUUAACCCAAUUGUAAAAAAUUAAGCACAUUUUAGUUCUGAGAAGAUCAGGAAAACUGAUUGGGCAGAGCAGAAAGUGGUUCUCAGGCAAGGCGAAAAGCAUAUUGGUCUUCAUUUGGACAAUGUUGUUAAUAUGAAUCAAGUCAUUGAACGAAGGAAUCUCCUACUCUGAUUUCCUCCGAUGCAAAUUUCCUGUGUUACUCGUGCUUGAUCAUUUGAUACCAGUUAGUUAAUGGAGGCGACAAAGAUUUUCAUUUCUCUGUUAUGAUUUGAGCAUGCUUCAAGAUUUGAUUAAAGAAGAUUGUGUAGCAAGAACCAUAAUUGAGAAGGAAACAAUUGUUGAACACCUCUAGCAUCUUUGAAGGCAGUAAAUUCGAUUUAAGGAUGUUCGAAUGACCAUGAUCAAGUCAAUAAAUAGCCUGCCCUGCUGCCAGAAUAAUUACACAAUUUUCAUUGUAAACGUUCUCCACUUUGAAUCCCAUUCUUCGUCUUUCUCAUUCUGAUAUUAUUUUCGAAGUGAAAAAUACUCCACUAAGUUCGUUGGAACUCUCAUGGAUUACUGUGCUGUUUUUGUAAGAGGCGAUAUUCGUUCUCUCUUGAAAAACGAUUGUUGAACACCUUUCGCAUAUGAAUUAAUG